rnacentral:rRNA from 1 species
UACGUAGGCAGCAAACGUUGUUCGGAAUUACUGGGCGUAAAGAGUGUGUAGGCGGCUUUGUAAGUUCUGUGUGAAAUCUCCCGGCUCAACUGGGAGGGUGCGCCGAAUACUGCAAGGCUUGAGUACUGGAGAGGAUAGCGGAAUUCCUGGUGUAGCGGUGAAAUGCGCAGAUAUCAGGAGGAACACCAAUGGCGAAGGCAGCACUCUGGGACGUGACUGACGCUGAGACGCGAAAGCGUGGGGAGCAAACAGG